UACGUAGGGGGCAAGCGUUGUCCGGAUUUAUUGGGCGUAAAGCGCGUGUAGGCGGCCAGAAAAGUCCGCUGUGAAAACUCGAGGCUCAACUUCGAGCUGUCGGUGGAAACUUUCUGGCUAGAGUCCGGAAGAGGAGAAUGGAAUUCCUGGUGUAGCGGUGAAAUGCGCAGAUAUCAGGAAGAACACCCGUGGCGAAAGCGGCGCGCUGGACCACUACUGACGCUGAGGAACGAAAGCUAGGGGAGCAAACAGG
rnacentral:rRNA from 1 species